rnacentral:rRNA from 1 species
UACGAAGGGGGCUAGCGUUGCUCGGAAUCACUGGGCGUAAAGCGCACGUAGGCGGACUCUUAAGUCGGUGGUGAAAUCCCGGGGCUCAACCCCGGAACUGCCUUUGAUACUGGGUAUCUCGAGUCCGAGAGAGGUGAGUGGAAUUCCGAGUGUAGAGGUGAAAUUCGUAGAUAUUGGGAAGAACACCAGUGGCGAAGGCGGCUACUGGUCCUGAUCUGACGCUGAGGUGCGAAAGCGUGGG